GUGAACUUAUCCUUCGUCAUUCAUCCACCUGUAUAGAUAUCAAGGCACUCCAUCCUUUUGCAUAAAUCUCAAAACGCUCCAUCCUUUAUCAUUCAUCGAUAUGUAUAGAUAUCAAAGCACUCAAUUUGUCAUUCAUUCACCUACAUAAAUCUCAAAAUUAUCCUAUCCUCUAUCAUCCAUCUACUAUAUAGAUCUUAAAGCAUUCUAUCUUCUAUCCUUACUCUACCU
rnacentral:lncRNA from 1 species